AGAGUUUGAUCCUGGCUCAGAAUGAACGCUGGCGGCGUGCUUAACACAUGCAAGUCGCACGAGAACGCUUCAGCUUGCUGAAGUUAGUAAAGUGGCGCACGGGUGAGUAACGCGUGGGUAAUCUACCCCCGAAUUGGGGAUAACAUUGCGAAAGCGAUGCUAAUACCGAAUAAUAUCUUAAGAACCUCGGUUUUUAAGAUCAAAGGUGGCCUCUACAUGAAAGCUUCUGUUUGGGGAUGAGCCCGCGUACCAUUAGCUUGUUGGUAGGGUAAAGGCCUACCAAGGCAACGAUCCGUAGCUGGUUUGAGAGGAUGAUCAGCCACACUGGGACUGAGACACGGCCCAGACUCCUACGGGAGGCAGCAGUGGGGAAUAUUGGACAAUGGGGGAAACCCUGAUCCAGCAAUGCCGCGUGUGUGAAGAAGGCUCUAGGGUUGUAAAGCACUUUCAGUGAGGAAGAAAAGCUCGAGGAUAAUACCCUCGAGUCUUGACGUAUCCACAGAAGAAGCACCGCUAACU
rnacentral:rRNA from 1 species